rnacentral:rRNA from 1 species
AUUGAACGCUGGCGGCAUGCUUUACACAUGCAAGUCGAACGGCAGCGCGGGCUUCGGCCUGGCGGCGAGUGGCGAACGGGUGAGUAAUGCAUCGGAACGUGCCCAGUAGUGGGGAUAUCCCGGCGAAAGCCGGCUUAAUACCGCAUACGACCUGAGGGUGAAAGCGGGGGACCGAAAGGCCUCGCGCUAUUGGCGCGGCCGAUGUCGGAUUAGCCAGUUGGUGGGGUAAAGGCUUACCAAGGCGACGAUCCGUAGCUGGUCUGAGAGGACGACCAGCCACACUGGGACUGAGACACGGCCCAGACUCCUACGGGAGGCAGCAGUGGGGAAUUUUGGACAAUGGGGGCAACCCUGAUCCAGCCAUGCCGCGUGCGAGAAGAAGGCCUUCGGGUUGUAAACCGCUUUUGUUCGGGAAGAAAUCCUCUGGGCUAAUACCCCGGGGGGAUGACGGUACCGGAAGAAUAAGCACCGGCUAACUACGUG